CAGGAUUGAAUCUUUAAAGAUGGAGAAAGAUGAAUGUCAUCAUCAGUCUAUAGCCCUAGCUGGGAAAAAUGAGGAGUUGAAAAGACUUAGAGCUACUGUAGGAAGAAGGCAGCAUUUGACAUCUGGACUAGUAAGCUCUGUUUACCAGGGAGGAGGAGCAACAAGGCAAUCGGCUGCUAAUCCCACUAAUAUGAAAGCUGAAGAUAAAUCUAUUUUGAAUAAGAUUCAUCAAUUUCAAGAACAGGAAGUUAUAAUUGACAAGACAAAUAUUAUGGGAGAUGUACAUGUAUUUGUCAAGUGUUACUUGUCAACUAUUGGGCCACCAAAGUCUUUAUAUUGUAUACAAUAAGUGUGGGCACACUUCACUUGUUAGUAAGUCAUUUUGUGACUUGUCAGUCAAAAUAGCAAUUAUGCAAUUAUUAAUUUUGUCUUUAUAAUCAUACUUUUGUACUCUUUGACAAUUUUUCUUGGUGAUGUACCAGUUAAAAGUGAUCCCCUUGCAGAAAAAUAUCCAUCAACUUCAGUGCUAGCUAGCAUCACCAUACUUCCUCCCUAUUACAAAUGAAGUAAUGAAAGUUGCAUUUUAAAAGUUUAACUUUUUUGAAGCCAACUUUGGCUACAUUAAGCAGUCAGUUAAUUUGCAGAAGAAAAUUAUGUGAAUCUCCAUGUAAGGUUUAAGCUCAUCAAAGCCAUCAUGUACUCGCUCUAACCAAUCAUGUACUCUUGCUUACCCGGGUUGCACUUCCCUUUGGCAGUAGAGCUCCCCUCCUGAGUAGCAGGGUUCCCCCUCCGAGCAGUGGGCCCCCAUCUCUGGCCAUGCCCCUGGCCACGCCACUCACAGGCUUAAGACAGUCCCGAACGGUCUAGUCAGUCCUUUCCUCUCCCUUCCCCUGAUUUCUAGGAAGAUUGUGGAGGCAGUUCCUGCUGGAGCCUUUGUGGACUUUAAAGACUUGCUGCCAGACAAAGUGGCUUUAAAAGCAGCAGAUUGCCAAUACCAACAUUCUUGGCUCCCAGGCUAACAAAGCCCUUCGUAAGCAAGAGGUGGGUGAUGUGGAGACUUGGAUACAUUGUUUCCUCAUAUUUGUGGCUGCCAAGGUCAAUGAUCCCUUAACAAGAGAACUCAUGGCCUAUGGUCAAUUUAUACUAAUGUUGUCACGUAAACACGGGGUUAGGGGUAGAAGAUAUACCACAACUAUUUCAGGCACUUCGUUGGGGGUGGGGUACCCUCUCCGGUGGACAGAGCUGAAUGCCUCAAUGAUAGCUGCAGACGUGUUCCAGACAGGGGGUAUAGGUAUGCCCCCUAUGCCCAGUCAUAUGAUCACAGGAAAGAAGGUUGUGCCCUAGCCCCACCACCAACCACAGGUGACCGUUGGGCCCACCCAUACAGGAAUGGAGAGGAACUGUGUAACCGUUUCAACAGGUCGACUGGCUGCUCUUCCUCAAGAUGCUGCUUUAUUCAUUGUUGCUGGAGUUGUGGGGCAGAGGACAAUGGUGCUGCUGCCAAUGAGUCCACUUGGCCUGUGGCAAGUGCCGCCCGGCUCCAAGUAGUGCACCACACCCACAAGGACUGAGGCCUAGGUUAGGGUGACUGUCUUCUGUAUAUGAAUCAACACUCACUUUCAUUGUUCUCUCUGUUAUAGUCUUGUAUGUCCAACCAGUGAAUUUAUAGUUUAGAGUGCAAAUUUCGAUAAUUUGGUAAUAAGUCAACCUACCAAUAACAAACAAAAAUUAGCUUUUAUUGCGCCAUUUUGUUCUUUACAAGCCAUAAUUAGGUUCUUAAUUUGGAUUUCUUUCAUAAUAUUCACUGCCAUUUUGUCCGUGAAGACUAAAGUUUGGAUUUUAGUUGUUUUACUAUACUCGUGUCAAACAUAAGGAAAUCAUACCAAUUGUGUCAAGAACAUGACCAAGAAUAAAGCACACAUGUGCACAUCUAUAAUCCGCACAUGCCAAGAGGGGUGUGUCUUCUUUAUCUUCCAGGGCUCUCUGUCUAUCUCGUACUAAAACCUGGUGGCUCAUAUUUUAUCUUCUUAUCUUCUCCAGGACUUUUUGCUUGAUACAGGCUAGAAGCAGACGCUUUUCUAGGUCUCAUACUAAAAAAGGUGACUCAUACUAGAAGCAGGUGCCUUAUAUCUCUGUUAACUGUUCGCAGCAAUGUCCUAACAUCGACACCGCAGCUGACAAUCCCUUCAGUCCCCCCUAAGUUGGCGAUCCCUUCAUUCCCCCUUCCCAGCUUUAGUUUCUUCAACAUGACACCUUCAUGAACUGAUGAGUCUUUUCUAAAAUCGGCACUGCCAUCUUAUGGUAGGAGUGCAGUUUGGAAGCAUUACAAAAGGUAAUAGACGAAAGGGCAGUGCUUGAAUUGAGCAUAUACGGGAGUAGAGUAUGUGUAGGCAAAAUGAGACAGUUGCUAUUAUGGGACAGUUUUUUAUUCGGCCUUCAAACUAAUAUUGCUGUUGUAGUGGUUCUUUUUUGAAAAGAUGGGCUUCUUGCUUUUACGUUUUAUGUAAAUAAAAAUAAAUAAUAAUAACUUAACUUGGUAGAUUGAACACACCCAUAAUUUAUUAUUAGAUAUAGAUCUACCUAAAAAUAGAACUGGGCACGUGGCAGGUAACCUCAAUUUUUCCAGCCUCACUUGUUUUAUCUUAUUGGCACCUUGAUCUCUUGUCGAUAAUCACCUCUAAUUCUAACAAAUUAUUGGUAAAUUACCCUGUUUAUAUUUGUGCAGGCUAUUAUUUUCCAUUUUAAUAGUCAAUGGCUUGCAAGAGAAA